CUUUGCAAUCAUAGAUUUUGUGAUGCUCCUUUUUGGACGCUUUGCGCUCGUGUAGCUGCUAAGGCACAAGAAAAGAGCAAACGGAGAGGAAUUGCGAAUUGGCAGGUGCUGCCUCCACCUGGUAACGGUGGGCUGAAAUACUAUGGUUGUGAGCAGUAAAUUCGACCAAAUCAUCUGCUCCUCAAAAGCCAUCUGCGCCUCGACCGGACGGUGACAUAGGUGAUCCACAGGUAUGUGUCGGUGUCAUUAUACUAGAGACGGCAAUGAAAUGUCAAUUUCGAUGUGAUUAGGGAGUGUAGAGAAUGAAACAUGAAUGUCUCAUUCUAUCUAUGAAUCACCCCUGCACUUUGAAUCACUUAUGUCAUUAUUAGCAAUCACAUAAUAUUUUUCUUUUGUUUUAGAUUUAUAGAAACAAGUGACUACAUAGCUGCACAGUCUCUCGUCGCUUCCUCAAAAUAAAAAUUUGUGAGUGGUGCUACACUAUUCUGCAUUUUAAUUGUUGAAUAUUCACCUUCCGCUGGCAAAAAUAGAGUGUAACCAUAGAUUUGAUGAAAAAUAGGGGAGCAAUUUACUACACCCAAUGGUGGUCUGCAAUCUAUUAAUUUGCUCUUUUGAAUUUAGUUCAUUUAAUUCUCUGAAUCAAACCAAAACAAGGGCUAGGAGCUGUAGUCCAGGUUCUUGGUUCGUGAUUGAUUAACAUAAAAUCAAUGUUGAAGACAAGGUGACCCAAAAGCGUACAACCUUGUUUUGUUCCUGGGAUUUGGGGGAUUUAGAAGUUUGUCUUUUAAUAAUAAAAUGUGAGUCAUUUUCUAUGUGCACAAGCUCUGAUGAGUUUAAAUGUUUUCUAUGGAUUGCCACCAGGAGGUCCUCAAGAGCAUCAACCUCGACUACUAUGCUUGCUGGCCACUGAAAACCCCGGCACCUAGCCGAGCCUGUCGGAGUUGGAGGUUUCUCGAAUCCUGAAGCCACAGCCUGCGAUAGUAGAUCACCUGCAAUUUCGACUGUACGUCUUUCCCCCAUCCCUUGGCUGCAUUUCGAUUUGGAUCCGCUGAUGGUGUGUCCCUGCUGCUUACCCUUUCGUGCAUUUUUGUGAUGUGAUUUGGAUCCUCUGAUGGGCGCAUAACUACUGCUUACCCUUUCGGUGCUCCUGUGCGAGCAAUGCUUAUCCCAAGUGAAUCGCUGCAUUUAUGUACUACAGAAGAUGAUACAAGCAAAUCA